rnacentral:rRNA from 1 species
GUGAGGAAUCUUCCACAAUGGGCGAAAGCCUGAUGGAGCAACGCCGCGUGAAGGAUGAAGGUCUUCGGAUUGUAAACUUCUUUUAUGAGUGAAGAAUAUGACGGUAACUCAUGAAUAAGCACCGGCUAACUACGUGCCAGCAGCCGCUGUCAUACGUAGGGUGCAAGCAUUAUCCGGAGUGACUGGGCGUCAAGAGUUGCGUAGGCGGUUAUGUAAGCGAAUAGUGAAACCUGGUGGCUCAACCACACAGACUAUUAUUCGAACUGAAUAACUCGAGAAUGGUAGAGGUAACUGGAAUUUCUUGUGUAGGAGUGAAAUCCGUAGAUAUAAGAAGGAACACCAAUGGCGUAGGCAGGUUACUGGGCCAUUUCUGACGCUAAGGCACGAAAGCGUGGGGAGCGAACCGGAUUAGAUACCCCAGUAGUCC